rnacentral:rRNA from 1 species
CUUGGAUCAUGUGGCUUAAUUUGACCCAACACGGGAAAUCUUACCAGGUCCGGACACAUUAAGGAUUGACAGAUAAAAAUAUAUAUAAAAAUAUGAUAGUUCUUUCAUAAUUAUGUGAUAGGUGGUGCAUGGCCGUUCUUAGUUCGUGGAUUGAUUUGUCUGCUUAAUUGCGUUUCAUAAAAAUAAAAUAAAUAAUAAUAAAAUAUUAUAUAUUUUUUUAUAUAUAUUAUUUUAAUUAUUAUAAUAAAUAUUGAAUGCAACGAACGUGACCG